GCAUUCGUAACUAUGAAAAGCAUGAUACUCUUGCCAAGAAUUUACUUAACGUGAUUGUGACUAGCAACCUUUACUACUUGUGAAAAUAAGUUCAUAACGAUUAGGUGAAAUUCACUUAUAUUCUAGCAUCAAAUUCAUGCAUGUAAAUUAAGCGUGCACUCUCAACCAACAUACACAAAUCAGUUUUUAUACGAACGGAUAAGUAAAUUGAAAUCACAACUUAUGAAAUCACAACCGAAGGUAAUCAAUUCAUAUUACAAAAUAUAUUCAUGGCUUUGAAUUAACCUCUAGCCAAAAUAAAAUUAAUUACACAUUAUUACAAAAUAGAAAUAAAAGAGAAGUUUGGAAAGAUUAAACCGAAAAAUGAGGGAGUUUGCUGUCUGUCCGUGCCUCGCGCCACGUGCUUUUUCUGACCUCCCUGUCUCUCGGUCCUCACCUCUCCAGCUGCUUGACAGUCCUCAAGACUGCACAGCAGCCUUCCUCUCUCAAUCCUUCGUUCCCCCAGUCUGCGCCACGUGCUGCCAAGGCAGCACCUUAUUUCUCCUGACUUCUCCACGAGCUGCCCAAGCAGCUCUCCUCCUGACUUCUGGCCUCGGGCUGCGCAAGGCAGCGUCCCUCUUGGUUCAGCUGCCAAAUGGCAGCCUUGCUUUGUACUUCUCUCCGUCCUCCCUCUAGCUCUCUCGCUGACUCCCUUCUCGAGCUGCCCAAAGGGCAGCUCCCCCUUUUCCUUCUAUCUCUCCCCGCGUGCUUCUUUUUGUUUUCUGUUUUUCUAUUCCCUCUUUUCCCGCAUACUCCUGCCUUCCACUCCUCACGUUUCCACCUUGGAUUCUUUCCUUUCUUUGUUCAACUCUUUCUUUCCACCGUUUUCUUUCUUUUUUUUUUUCUACAAAACAAAACCAUCAUGAUGAUGUUUCAAACAUCAUCACGACUUAUCAUUAUUAAAUAUAAUUUUUAAUUUAAUUUAAAAGCUGAUCUACACAGACAGUUUUGACGAAUUUAUUACAUAAAAUUUCACUUGUUCUAUUUUUAUUUUCUUUGCAUAAACAAAUCCUAUAAACACAAAAAUAACGUAAAUAGCUCAAAAAUAUAAGAAACUAACUAAGAAAAGACGAGUGAAUUUGAAGUAAAAAUAUAUAUAAAUAUGAUCCGAUCAAAUACCCCCAUACUUAGCUUUUGCUAGUCCUCGAGCAAAACAAAGAAAACAUGAAAAAGUACUAACAUGAAAAACAUUAGCUUCCCUCUAUGUGACCCUCAUAGAAUUUCAUUCAAGAAAACAAAUCAUCAAGAACCAUAGCUAGCACCAAACAAACUAAUCCAAGUUCAUUUUCCUUAUUCAAAUAUUAGCAGUAAUCUUUGAAUCAUCCUUGAAGUGUAGUGUGUGAGAUAGCCAUGCUAAUGCAAUUUCAAAAUUUUUAUAUUUUUAAAAUCAUCAUAUGCAAACUAGCGACAUUCUCACGGGAUAUGCACUCAAUCACACAUGUGUUUAGUUUUAAUGUGUUUCGCUCAAAGAAUCAAAUGUGAAAUUUCUACCAUAAGCUUGCAUAAAGAUCACUUCUCCACAGUCAUAAUUGCAAAACUUAAAUCAAGAGGACUUUUAUUGGAUGUAAUGAGGCUUAGGGAUAGGGUUAUUGAAACGAAAGAAUAGGACACACAAAUUCCAAGCUACAUUGCAAGCAAUUUUUCUCUUUAGAUUUAUAAGAACUCAAUUCUCCAGCAAUUCUUCUAGCACCUCCAAUCACACCCUUAAACUGAAACUUGAACAACUUUUUAUUUUCUUUGUGUACAAUUUUUCUUUUUCUUUUUCUUUUCUUCUCUUUUUUUUUUUUUUUUUUUUUUUUUUUUUUUUUUUUUUUUUUUUUUAAAAUACAAACAUGAAAUACCCCCACACUUAUUCUUUUUGCCAAACACCUUCAAAGUACUUCACAAACGUUUCUCAUAAGAUAAUUUCGCAUUGCUCGCUUGGAAAGGGUAAGGAAAAAUGUUUCAGGUAUAAGGGUAGACAUAUCUGGUGAUAAGAAAUAAAAGGCUCAAUAUACACGGCUCAAAUUGGCAAUCUAAUGAUAUCAUUUUUCUUUGGGAAACAUGGUUAUUUGGGCCAUGGUGGUAAACCUAAUGCCUCUAUCAUUUCCAAGUUCAUGCAAUCAAUGACAAACAUUUCGAAAGAUCGUUACGCAAGUUCUAGAGAUGUAUCUCACAUAAGUUCAUCACACAUGAAAGAAUAGGAGUGUAUGAAAAAUGCACACACUUUCAAUCGGCUCAAAAACUCACAUAUGAUGUAUAUGGUCACUAAAUUCACAUAUGAAGCUUUAAGUCAUACUUUAGUUUCACAUUAACAAGGCUAUGUGCAUUUGGUUUUUCAAAGAUGGUCAAACAUGUACAAAACUAACAAGAGAAUUAGGAAUUUCACCAAACACAUGUUAACUAAGUUCUUGAUGAUCAUGGUUCAAAUUUUUGAUCCAAUUAUAUCAUUGGGUCGGGAAACUAACAAAAAAUCUAAUUCAAAACAAUAAGGGAAACAAGACAAUAUUUUUGGAUUUUUUAAAUUUUCCGAUUUUUUUUUUUUUUUUUAUAGAGAAAACAAAACUAAAAAAAAUAAAAAAUAAAAAGCAACAACACAGAAACAAAUGAAAUUCUAGAGAUUUCUACCCCCACACUUAAACUUGACAUUGUCCCCAAUGUCAGAAAACACUAUAAUGCAAAAAUAAAAAAUAAAACAAAAUAAAAAAAAAAAAAACAAAAUAAAGCAAUUGGACUGAAAACUUCCCUAAUUUGCAGUAAAAUCAAGCGAUGACCCUCAAGCUAAAAUUCUGCAAUCAACUUCAAGGGUGGAAAUAACCAAAAGUUCCUGCAAAGAAAAGGAAAAAUUCAGUUAAGUACGCAAGAAAAUUAAUUAAAAAAAAUAUUGCAAACGAAAAAUUGAAAAUUACGAUAAAAGAUAAUGAAUAAAACUAAUAAGUAAUCAUUGGUCGUGCUUGUUGACUUUCCACAGCUUUCCUCUUGAACAGGGUGACACUUAGCUUUUUUACUUGCAAGUGAUGAUUUGAUGAUAUUGUACGGCGAAGCUUUGCUCUUUGGUGAUGUUGCAGUUCCUUAUUUGUUCUCCAAGCAGAUGUGGCAGCUUCUCUAGUUCCUCAGUUCGGACUCCUUCCGCUGGGAUGAUUGUGCAAGCUGCAUUCUUCUCUGCUUGUUUCUUCUGCACAACGGGCAGGCACGAGGGAAAGGUGUUGGUCCUUAUUUCUUUCUUCAAUCUUUCCAAGUGCCCACCUCUUGCUUUCUUUCUCCUUGUCCCUAGCUGAAUUGUCUCCACAUGCUUCGAGGUAUCAUUUUCACUUCCCUUACUGUCCCCCAGGCAGAUGUGGUAGACGAAGAGAAAGCAUAAAAUGAUGAAGAUGAGUACUCGAGAGCAAGGCUAGGUAAGCAAUCAGGAAAGGGUUCCAGGCAGUUGGCUCCAGAUUGGAAGAUUGAUACCAAAUGCUGGCUGAUUGCUCUCUUUCUCCUUGUCGGAAAACAAAGACAAGGAGAAGGACAUGGAGAAAGCAUGAUAUGAGAUACUCUUGCUUUCAACCUUUAUGAUAUGAAAUACUUUUGCUUUGAAUGGGUUGUUCGCAGGAGUAUCCCAAGGAAUGAGGAACACAGAGUGACUCGAGAGAAUUCUUUGGGAAUGCAUUUUCGGAGAUGAAGAGGUGUUGAGAGGGUGUGCUGAGAGAGUGUGCUUUUGCUGUGGAAGGCGAAAGUAGAAACUUAUAGGACUUGUCUUCACAACCGGAACUGUUCUCUCACUUAGUGUCGGCAGCCGGUGGAUGGGUGAAGAAUACAAAUUACGCGCUUUCUGACAAAGCUGCCCGUAAUUUCCGCAAAGCAGAUUCCUCAUUGAUAUCUAGAAUCGGCGCUUCGAGCUCUGAGCAUCGUCGAUUGUAGAGGUAGCAUGUGACACGUGCGGAUAAAUCUGGAAAAGAAGAUUUGCCCGUGGGUUGAAGCCCAGCUUUUGAGAAAGCUAGCGUGUCUUUAACUGUUGAAUUUCCCUCUUCGAUUUCUGAAUUGGUGCUUCGACAAACUGCCCGAGAUUUCCGCAAAGCAAUUUGCGUGUGACAAGUGACGACACGUCUGGACAAUUGAUCCUUUGAAAUCCGGGGUUCGGCUCGUGGUUUCUGAGCAAGCCCAGCCUUUAAGAAAUGAAACGCCUCUUUUGAGAAAAGAAUCCGGCUUUUGAGAAAGGAACCCCGACUCUUCGAUUUGCGAGAGGACGCUGCUCUGAGGAGCGCCUCUUCGAUUUCUUCUUUUUAUAGAGGCGUUAAGCUUGUUCCACAACACACUUGAGCUCCCCCUAGUAAACACUCCCAUCUUGCACUUGUUUAAUCUUGAUCAGUCCAACUCUCUUCUUUCUUCACCACCUCUGAAAAAUGUCUGGCCCUUCCGAUCGUCGUUUUGACUUGAACCGUGGUGAAGAGGCAGCUCCGCCUUCACCAGACAACAUAUGGCGGCCAUCCUUCAUAUCCCCUACCGGUCCCCUUACCGUGGGGGAUUCGAUGAUGAAAAAUGACAUGACCGCUGCGGUGGUGGCCCGAAACCUUGUCACUCCCAGAGAUAACAGACUGCUCGCAAGGCGGUCUGAUGAAUUGGCGGUCAAGGAGUCUCUGGCUCUCAGUGUGCAGUGUGCGGGUUCCGUAUCCAACAUGGCCCAACGCCUAUAUGCCCGAACCCGUCACGUUGAAUCCUUGGUGGCUGAAAUACAGAGUCUCAAGCAAGAGAUUAAAGGGCUCAAGCAUGAGAAUAAGGAAUUGCACAAGCUCGCACACAGCUAUGCCACCAGCAUGAAGAGGAAGAUUGACCAGAUGCAGGACACCGAUGGUCAAAUUUUACUUGAUCAUCGGAGGUUUGUGGGUUUGUUCCAACCGCAUCUGCCUUCGUCUUCUGGGGCGGCACCGCGCAGUGAAGCUCCAACUGAUCAACCUCUGCCGCCUCCUCCUUCUGUGGCCCCGCCGACUGCUGAAGCCCCGCCUACUACUGAAGCACCACCCGACCAAUGAAUACUAUUAGUUUACAUCAUUGUAAAAUUUUAAUUUUAAUUUUUUUUUUUUUUUUUUUUUUUUUUUUUUUUUUUUUUUUCAUUAAUUUUAAAUUUUUAUCUUUUUUUUUUUUUUUUCAUUAAUUUUAAAUUUUAUCUUUUUUUUUUUUUUUUUUUUUUUUAUUUUUUUUUAUGUAAAUUAAUGUAAAGAGACUUUGGUUAACCUUCCCCACACUUAAACUAAGUAAAUACAAACUCACAGAAAUCAACCAAAUAACACAACUAACUAAACAAAACAAAAUGAAAGCAGUAAAGAUAAGGGUGUAAAAAUGCAAAUCUGAUUGGGUUAGCGAUUCCAAAGUCUCCCUUCGUUGAAUGCUUGGGUUGCCUCCCAAGAAGCGCUUGAUUUAACGUCUUUAGCCGGACGCAUCUUUCCUUUAAAUUUCCCUCAGCUCCAUUUGUGCCUAAAAUCAAAGAAAGAAAAAUAAAUCAAAUAUCAAAAGUAAAAUACACAAACACCAAUAUAAACAUAAACAAAAACAAAAAUAAAAGGAUUAGCAAAGUUACUAAUCCCCGGCAACGGCGCCAAAAUUUGAUGCGAAAUAUAUAAGCACACAAAUUAAACCCUCUUUUUGACAAUUGUAGUAUAGAUAUAAGUAGGGUAUCGUUCUAGGCCGGGGAUUAGGAGGGCUUGCUAAAACCUCUAAAUUAAUUCAAAAAUAUUAAAUAAGACUCAAGGACACAAAAUUAGGCUAAAAACUCUAAUAACUCGAAACACACUUAAAAUGACUCAAAAUAAUGAAAACAAUUAAAUUAAACACUAGGAACUGAAAUGGACGGAAAUUAAAUUAAAAGACUAACAAUAAAGAAAACUAACUAAAUAAUAUAAUUUAAUAAUGGAUGGGUGUUUGGUUUUGAUGAAAAGUAAAUUAAACUUAAUUAAAUUACAGAAUUGAUAAAAACAUAAAAUUAAGGUAAAAUGAUAAAUGACGGACUAGCUAGAGGGUUCUUCUCCACACAUGACACAUAUGCAACCUAAAUUGAUUUUUCAGUUGUUCUUUCAAUAAAUUGUGAAUCUCAAUACUCCAGAUUAACCGUGAACAGCACUUUUUUAAUCUUCAAGUUUUCCUUAAGUUAUUGAAUUGGACGGGAAAACGCAUACAACAAUUCAAAACAUUCUUCAAAAGUCCCCUACGUGAAAAGCACAAUAGAGAUACAAUCAAAGAUCAUUAAACUUUGUGAAAACUAUAAGCAUUGACGAGGCAUUCGUAACUAUGAAAAGCAUGAUACUCUUGCCAAGAAUUUACUUAACGUGAUUGUGACUAGCAACCUUUACUACUUGUGAAAAUAAGUUCAUAACGAUUAGGUGAAAUUCACUUAUAUUCUAGCAUCAAAUUCAUGCAUGUAAAUUAAGCGUGCACUCUCAACCAACAUACACAAAUCAGUUUUUAUACGAACGGAUAAGUAAAUUGAAAUCACAACUUAUGAAAUCACAACCGAAGGUAAUCAAUUCAUAUUACAAAUAUAUUCAUGGCUUUGAAUUAACCUCUAGCCAAAAUAAGUUUAAUUACACAUUAUUAAAACAUAAAUAAAAGAGAAGUUUGGAAAGAUUAAACCGAAAAAUAAGGGAGUUUGCUGUCUGUCCGUGCCUCGCGCCACGUGCUUUUUCUGACCUCCCUGUCUCUCGGUCCUCACCUCUCCAGCUGCUUGACAGUCCUCAAGACUGCACAGCAGCCUUCCUCUCUCAAUCCUUCGUUCCCCAGUCUGCGCCACGUGCUGCCAAGGCAACACCUUAUUUCUCCUGACUUCUCCACGAGCUGCCCAAGCAGCUCUCCUCCUGACUUCUGGCCUCGGGCUGCGCAAGGCAGCGUCCCUCUUGGUUCAGCUGCCAAAUGGCAGCCUUGCUUUGUACUUCUCUCCGUCCUCCCUCUAGCUCUCGCUGACUCCCUUCUCGAGCUGCCCAAAGGGCAGCUCCCCCUUUUCCUUCUAUCUCUCCCCGCGUGCUUCUUUUUGUUUUCUGUUUUUCUAUUCCCUCUUUUCCCGCAUACUCCUGCCUUCCACUCCUCACGUUUCCACCUUGG
rnacentral:lncRNA from 1 species